rnacentral:rRNA from 1 species
CAGCAGCCGCGGGAAUACGAAGGGGGCUAGCGUUGCUCGGAAUCACUGGGCGUAAAGGGUGCGUAGGCGGGUCUUUAAGUCAGGGGUGAAAUCCUGGAGCUCAACUCCAGAACUGCCUUUGAUACCGGAGAUCUUGAGUUCGGGAGAGGUGAGUGGAACUGCGAGUGUAGAGGUGAAAUUCGUAGAUAUUCGCAAGAACACCAGUGGCGAAGGCGGCUCACUGGCCCGAUACUGACGCUGAGGCACGAAAGCGUGGGGAGCAAACAGGAUUAGAGACCCCCGUAGUCCCUGUCUCUUAUAU